AAUCAACGCUGGCGGCGUGCCUCAGACAUGCAAGUCGAACGAUUAAACUUUCCUUCGGGAAAGAUAUAAAGUGGCGCACGGGUGAGUAACACGUAAGUAAUCUACCUUCGAGUGGGGAAUAACGUCCGGAAACGGACGCUAAUACCGCAUAAUGCAGCGGCACCUAAUGGUGACAGUUGUUAAAGAUUUAUCGCUUGAAGAGGAGCUUGCGGCAGAUUAGCUAGUUGGUAAGGUAAUGGCUUACCAAGGCUACGAUCUGUAACCGGUCUAAGAGGACGGUCGGUCACACUGACACUGAAUAACGGGUCAGACUCCUACGGGAGGCAGCAGUCGGGAAUUUUGGGCAAUGGGCGAAAGCCUGACCCAGCAAUGCCGCGUGAAGGAUGAAGUAUUUCGGUAUGUAAACUUCGAAAGAAUGGGAAGAAUCAAUGACGGUACCAUUUAUAAGGUCCGGCUAACUACGUGCCAGCCGCCGCAGUAACAC
rnacentral:rRNA from 1 species